rnacentral:rRNA from 1 species
GCCCCGGUAAACGGCGGCCGUAACUAUAACGGUCCUAAGGUAGCGAAAUUCCUUGUCGGGUAAGUUCCGACCUGCACGAAUGGCGUAAUGAUGGCCAGGCUGUCUCCACCCGAGACUCAGUGAAAUUGAACUCGCUGUGAAGAUGCAGUGUACCCGCGGCAAGACGGAAAGACCCCGUGAACCUUUACUAUAGCUUGACACUGAACAUUGAGCCUUGAUGUGUAGGAUAGGUGGGAGGCUUUGAAGUGUGGACGCCAGUCUGCAUGGAGCCGACCUUGAAAUACCACCCUUUAAUGUUUGAUGUUCUAACGUUGGCCCGUAAUCCGGGUUGCGGACAGUGUCUGGUGGGUAGUUUGACUGGGGCGGUCUCCUCCUAAAGAGUAACGGAGGAGCACGAAGGUUGGCUAAUCCUGGUCGGACAUCAGGAGGUUAGUGCAAUGGCAUAAGCCAGCUUGACUGCGAGCGUGACGGCGCGAGCAGGUGCGAAAGCAGGUCAUAGUGAUCCGGUGGUUCUGAAUGGAAGGGCCAUCGCUCAACGGAUAAAAGGUACUCCGGGGAUAACAGGCUGAUACCGCCCAAGAGUUCAUAUCGACGGCGGUGUUUGGCACCUCGAUGUCGGCUCAUCACAUCCUGGGGCUGAAGUAGGUCCCAAGGGUAUGGCUGUUCGCCAUUUAAAGUGGUACGCGAGCUGGGUUUAGAACGUCGUGAGACAGUUCGGUCCCUAUCUGCCGUGGGCGCUGGAGAACUGAGGGGGGCUGCUCCUAGUACGAGAGGACCGGAGUGGACGCAUCACUGGUGUUCGGGUUGUCAUGCCAAUGGCACUGCCCGGUAGCUAAAUGCGGAAGAGAUAAGUGCUGAAAGCAUCUAAGCACGAAAC